GAUGUAACUCAGUAGAGCACUUGCCUUGUAAGUAAGUGGUUUUGGGUUUAAUCCCUAGCAUC
rnacentral:tRNA from 1 species